CGAACGUGUUUCCUCAUAGGGUGCCUCGAUCAGCUGUCUGCCGAGCAACGCUUAACGUGGAAAGGCUUCCUUCAACUGCUGCCCAAGCAGGCGCCAUGCUGAUCCCCACAAGACGACCAGUGGAUAGGGGCGGCAGCAGCAGAACCAGCCUCACUGACGGCAGCGGCGAUCCGGUUCGACACAUUAAAGACUGUUUUCAGAUA
rnacentral:misc_RNA from 1 species